AUUGAACGCUGGCGGAAUGCUUUACACAUGCAAGUCGAACGGCAGCACGGACUUCGGUCUGGUGGCGAGUGGCGAACCGGUGAGUAAUGUAUCGGAACGUGCCCAGUCGUGGGGGAUAACGUAGUGAAAAUUACGCUAAUACCGCAUACGAUCUAUGGAUGAAAGCGGGGGAUCGCAAGACCCCGCGCGAUUGGAGCGGCCGAUAUCAGAUUAGGUAGUUGGUGGGGUAAAGGCCCACCAAGCCAACGAUCUGUAGCUGGUCUGAGAGGACGACCAGCCACACUGGAACUGAGACACGGUCCAGACUCCUACGGGAGGCAGCAGUGGGGAAUUUUGGACAAUGGGCGAAAGCCUGAUCCAGCCAUUCCGCGUGCAGGAUGAAGGCCCUCGGGUUGUAAACUGCUUUUGUACAGAACGAAAAGGUUUCUACUAAUACAGUUUGCUGAUGACGGUACCGUAAGAAUAAGCACCGGCUAACUACGUGCCAGCCGCCGCGGUAA
rnacentral:rRNA from 1 species